rnacentral:rRNA from 1 species
UACCUGCAGCUCGAGUGGUAACCGCUAUUAUUGGGCCUAAAGCGUCCGUAGCCGGUUUGGUAAAUAUCUGGGUAAAUCGUGAGGCUUAACUUCACGAAUUUCGGAUAGACUGCCAGACUUGGGAUCGGGGGAGGUCAGAGGUACUCCAGGGGUAGCGGUGAGAUGUUGUAAUCCUUGGAGGACCACCGGUAGCGAAGGCGUCUGACUAGAACGAGUCCGACGGUGAGGGACGAAGCCCUGGGGCGCAAACCGGAUUAGAUACCCGGGUAGUCCAGGGUGUAAACGAUGUGGGCUUUGUAUUGGAGGUCCCACGUGGGCGUCCAGUGCAGAAGAGAAGUUGUUAAGCCCACCGCCUGGGAAGUACGGUCGCAAGGCUGAAACUUAAAGGAAUUGGCGGGGGAGCACAGCAACGGGAGGAGCGUGCGGUUU